rnacentral:rRNA from 1 species
ACUGCCCGAUGGAGGGGGAUAACUACUGGAAACGGUAGCUAAUACCGCAUAACGUCGCAAGACCAAGAGGGGACCUUCGGGCCUCUUGCCAUCGGAUGUGCCCAGAUGGGAUUAGCUGUAGGUGGGGUAACGGCUCACCUAGGCGACGAUCCCUAGCUGGUCUGAGAGGAUGACCAGCCACACUGGAACUGAGACACGGUCCAG